rnacentral:rRNA from 1 species
GAUGAACGCUGGCGGCGUGCCUAAUACAUGCAAGUCGAGCGAACAGACGAGGAGCUUGCUCCUCUGACGUUAGCGGCGGACGGGUGAGUAACACGUGGAUAACCUACCUAUAAGACUGGGAUAACUUCGGGAAACCGGAGCUAAUACCGGAUAAUAUAUUGAACCGCAUGGUUCAAUAGUGAAAGACGGUUUUGCUGUCACUUCUAGAUGGAUCCGCGCCGCAUUAGCUAGUUGGUAAGGUCACGGCUUACCAAGGCAACGAUGCGUAGCCGACCUGAGAGGGUGAUCGGCCACACUGGAACUGAGACACGGUCCAGACUCCUACGGGAGGCAGCAGUAGGGAAUCUUCCGCAAUGGGCGAAAGCCUGACGGAGCAACGCCGCGUGAGUGAUGAAGGUCUUCGGAUCGUAAAACUCUGUUAUUAGGGAAGAACAAAUGUGUAAGUAACUAUGCACGUCUUGACGGUACCUAAUCAGAAAGCCACGGCUAACUACGUG